rnacentral:misc_RNA from 1 species
GAUGAAGAACGUAGCGAAAUGCGAUAAGUAGUGUGAAUUGCAGAAUUCAGUGAAUCAUCGAAUCUUUGAACGCACAUUGCGCCCCUUGGUAUUCCAUGGGGCAUGCCUGUUCGAGCGUCAUUUGUACCCUCAAGCUAAGCUUGGUGUUGGGUGUUUGUCCACUCCCUCGUGUUUGGACUCGCCUUAAAACAAUUGGCAGCCAGUGUUUUGGUAUUGAAGCGCAGCACAAUUUGCGAUUCUAGCCUAGAAUACUAGCAUCCAUCAAGUCAUUUUUAACGAUUGACCUCGGAUCAGGUAGGGAUACCCGCUGAACUUAAGCAUAUCAAUAAGCGGAGGA